rnacentral:lncRNA from 1 species
AUGGAGGGUACGAUUUCGAAGCUGUUCAAACCCUUGGUGGUGCAGCUUGGUAGUAACAUGUUACCAGAGCUUAAAAAGAUCGGCACAAAGAACCUCGGAGAGACGGGCUUGGUUUUCUUUAGCUUAGAUAGAUUUAAGGAGCACUGAAAGAUCGGCAAUCCAUAGGAACCACUUCUCUUCUUCCUUCUCUUCUUCCAUGCCUAUUGGUGAUGGAUGACAAUAUUGAUGUCUUUGCUACUUUAUAAAUUUUGCAUGAUUUCUAACAAAAGUUUAUGAUCACUUACAUAAUUUGGUUAUUCAUUGGAUUUGUAGGCCAAGC